CCUACGGGUGGCAGCAGUGAGGAAUAUUGGUCAAUGGACGCAAGUCUGAACCAGCCAUGCCGCGUGCAGGAAGACGGCUCUAUGAGUUGUAAACUGCUUUUGUACGAGGGUAAACGCAGAUACGCGUAUCUGUCUGAAAGUAUCGUACGACUAAGGAUCGGCUAACUCCGUGCCAGCAGCCGCGGUAAUACGGAGGAUUCAAGCGUUAUCCGGAUUUAUUGGGUUUAAAGGGUGCGUAGGCGGUCGGAUAAGUUAGAGGUGAAAUCCCGAGGCUCAACUUCGGAAUUGCCGCUGAUACUGUUCGGCUUGAGAGUAGUUGCGGUAGGCGGAAUGUAUGGUGUAGCGGUGAAAUGCUUAGAGAUCAUACAGAACCCCGAGUGCGAAGGCAGCUUACCAAGCUACUUCUGACGUUGAGGCACGAAGGCGUGGGGAGCAAACAGGAUUAGAUACCCGGGUAGUC
rnacentral:rRNA from 1 species